GUCAGGAUGGCCGAGUGGUCUAAGGCGCCAGACUCAAGUUCUGACAUUAAAAUCUUAUUUUCUUGUCA
rnacentral:tRNA from 1 species